GAAGAAAUUCUUUCAGCUCCAGUUGAGCCUGUUUUACAUUUGCGAUUUUGCAUUUUAUUUAUAGAAGUUUCCUGUUUGCAGUCGUCUCACUCUCCUUUUCCCCCUCUCUGGUGUGCUCUUGGCUGGUGUUGGAGACUGACAGCCAAGCCAGCAGCAGUGUGGAGAGCCGGCCGUUGUCAUGGAGACAUGACACGUCGCCGUACAGCGGGCUAGCAGUUAGCAUUAAUGGCGUGCUUUGGAAGCAAAUCAAAACAUUGCAUCGGCCUCUACCAGUUUCUUGGUAUCUUUCUCUCUCUAUCUCCCACUCUCUCUCUCUCUUUCUUUCACACAGAGCCCAGUUGCUCAGUGUGAGCGGUCCUGUGGGGUCAUGACAGGAAAGUAUGAUCCACAAACUCGAAAGCCGCUGUUACUGCAUCUCUCCACCUGACAGGAAACACACGGAGGAGGAUGUCGAUCUGUGGCCCAAGAGGACACGAAAAAUGAAAGAGAGAGGGAGAUAGAGUGGUUCUAUAUUUGUAAGCGCAAAACAAUGAAUCAAUUGUGAGUCAUUGCUUUGUGAAGUCAUCUUCAAAAUGUCAUCUCCCAUCACUCAUUCCCUUCCACCCCAAGCAGAAAGGCAGGAAGUGAAGGACAGUGAGGGUGGAAUAGUGUUGAACAUCGGGAUUAGAGCGCUAAAGAUAAAGACAGAGCGACACGUGCAUAUUGUGUCAACAUCCGCAUUAAUAUAGAUGACGGCAGACGUUACUUGACCAGCACAAAUCUGGAAAAUUGGAGGAAAUAUUCAUGAAAAGUUGAGCCUGUUAUAUCCACAGCUCAUUGUGUCCCUCUUGUGGUUAAUAUUUGACAGAACCUGGUUCAGUUGAUUCCCCCAAUAAAGUGAAUGCAGUUUUUUGUAA